rnacentral:misc_RNA from 1 species
CUUUUCCUCAUUCACAGCCUGAAUUUUCAAAUCUGUAUAGUACUUGAUCACAGGAAGGUGAUGCGCCACAUUGUAAAACAGAAUACAUAUGGCCAUAACCACAAUCCCAACAGCGAAAUAGAGAUUUGCACUUUUUCUGAGGCCAUGUUCAUCUUGUGUAUAUACAGAUUUGGUUAUGAUCCUUAGAAAUGAAACCAGGACUCCAGAACCAGCAGUACCAGCAACAACAGCCUGCAUAUACCUCUC